UGUAGGGCCGCUUCAGACCUAGGUACGCCGUGUCGCUUCGCCCCCACCCCCACGCGGAUCCGCCCAGCCGAGUUGCCUCGGGUCGUCGCCCCUUGGAUCAACCGUCGAUGAGUCGCCGCCGCCCCAAACCGAGAGCCGCCAAUGUGUCAUUUAUUCCUCCUUUCUAGUUAAUGAUUUGUAGAUGAAUUUUCAUUCGUGCGAGAUCGAGUGCGAUUUUAGAUGGAUUCGUUUCUCUCCCCCCUCCCUCUCACGGAUCCGCCGAGCCGAGUUGCCUUCGGGUCGUCGCCCCCCUGGAUCAACCGUCGACGAGUCGUCGCUUGCCCUGUAUUCGUCCAGCCGAGCCGCCCCAAAUCGAUCCCCGCGGAUGGAUUCGCUUCGCCCCCCUCCUCCCUCACGGAUCUGCCCAGCCGAGUUGUCCCCGGGUCGUCGCUCCCUAGAUCAACCGCCGACGAGUCGCCGCUCACCCCGGAUUCGUCCAACUGAGCCAUCUGUGGGUCACCGUCGCCCCAAAUCAACCGCCGCCAGUGUGUCCUUUUUUGCCCCCUUCUAGUUUGACUUAGCGAAGAAUUUGUAGAUGAAUUUCCGUUCAUCCGAGAUCGGGUGCCAUUUGUAGAUGGAUUUGAGCCCUUGCGGAGAAUUUUUGCCCGACAAUUCGUCCUUGUAUCAUAGCUGUAUCUGGAACAAUUCUUGUAUUGAAUUAUUAGUUUAAUUCAGUGAUUUAAAUAAUUAUUAUAA